rnacentral:rRNA from 1 species
UGAACGCUGGCGGCGUGCCUAAUACGUGCAAGUCGAGCGAACGGACGAGAAGCUUGCUUCUCUGAUGUUAGCGGCGGACGGGUGAGUAACACGUGGAUAACCUACCUAUAAGACUGGGAUAACUUCGGGAAACCGGAGCUAAUACCGGAUAAUAUUUUGAACCGCAUGGUUCAAAAGUGAAAGACGGUCUUGCUGUCACUUAUAGAUGGAUCCGCGCUGCAUUAGCUAGUUGGUAAGGUAACGGCUUACCAAGGCAACGAUGCAUAGCCGACCUGAGAGGGUGAUCGGCCACACUGGAACUGAGACACGGUCCAGACUCCUACGGGAGGCAGCAGUAGGGAAUCUUCCGCAAUGGGCGAAAGCCUGACGGAGCAACGCCGCGUGAGUGAUGAAGGUCUUCGGAUCGUAAAACUCUGUUAUUAGGGAAGAACAUAUGUGUAAGUAACUGUGCACAUCUUGACGGUACCUAAUCAGAAAGCCACGGCUAACUACGUG